rnacentral:lncRNA from 1 species
UGCUUGACCACUUGCUCUGCAAGUUCUGCGAGAAGGCUGCAUUUGUUUCAGACCUGCCAGAGUGUCUGGGACAGCAGUCCUACAAACAACUCCUUGUUUUCCCGUUUCCUUGACCCUAUUGCCAGGCCAAGGCAAAGGGUCUGCCAUGGGCGGCUGCAUGUAAUUUCAUAGGCUGUGCAUCUGAAGUUGACCUCUGCUAUCUGUUUCCUUGUCAUCUCAAACAAGGGAUAAUGCUCUCCUGGGAACAGUUUCACCUCGAAGAGACAGGCAGCUCCUCAAAACAAUAUGGUUAAUCUUCAAGAAUUUGUCUGCCAGCUGUCUUCCAGGAAGCAGAAUCAAGGAAUGGCCUGGUUAUCAAGGGUGGCUGGCUGGAGACCUCCUCUGCCUUCUCCUCUACCAUUGUCACUCUUGCUAUGAUUUACUUAAGGUAUGUUCUGAACCAGUGGAACAAAUGUUCUGUGCUCUCAAAGGCAAAAACUGCCUUGGAAACCAAAGUCAAACCCAAAGAAGGGAAGUGAUGGCCACUCAUUUUGUUACAAACCUCCACCUCAUUUCUGGAGUCCUGUCUGAGAUUUUCAAAUAUAUGUUUAUCUCCUGAUAAACUCGGUGGUACAUGCAUUCCCAAAUACACUGGAACACAUUCAGUGGAGCAAAAUGCUGCUCAGGGAGAAC